rnacentral:snRNA from 1 species
GUGCUAUCUUCGGCAAUACAUAUACUAAAAAAUUGGAACAAUACAGAGAAGAUUAGCAUGGCUUCUGUGUAAGGAUGACAUGCAGAUUCGUGAAGCAUUCCAUAUUUUU